UUCUGUCUGGUUCAUCCUCCGCGAGGGUCGCGGAGGCCGGUGGCGCCCCGAAGACUCAUCAUGCUGCGACUUGAGAUUUGACCAGCUCCAUUUCCUUCUUGGGUCUGCUUACCUGGUGACGAUCCCUAUUUCCCAAGGCUUAUCAUAUAAUGUUGAACAUAGUGCAAGCAUCUGAUCAGGACAGCCCACUGACACUCAAAACUCUCAAGCUUAAGAGAUCUGCCAACUUUGACCUUUCUAGGAUUAAAGAACACAGGCAGGCACAUAUGCAUAAAGAUACUGUGUCAAAGUGCAGCGUUGGACUUAAAAUCAGAAAGGCUUGGCAUCAGAUCCUGCCCCUGACCCUCAUUA